rnacentral:rRNA from 1 species
CCUGCCCACUGAAAUUUUUUAAAUGGCCGCAGUAAUUUGACUGUGCAAAGGUAGCAUAAUCAUUAGUUUUUUAAUUAAAAGCUUGUAUGAAUGGUUGGACAAGGUAAAUUCUGUCUUUAUUUAAAUAAAAUUAGAAUUUAAUUUUUAAGUUAAAAAGCUUAAAUAUAUAUAAAAGACGAGAAGACCCUAUAGAUCUUUAUAUUAUUAUAUUAUAAUUUUAAUAAGGAAUUUUUAAUUUUUUAUAUUAUAUAAUAUUUUAUUGGGGUAAUAAAAAGAUUAAGUUAAUUCUUUUUGAUAUUUUACAUUGAUUUAUGAAUUUUAAUGAUCCAAAUUUUUUGAUUAUAAGAUUAAGUUACCUUAGGGAUAACAGCGUAAUUUUUUUAGAGAGUUCAUAUCGAUAAAAAAGUUUGCGACCUCGAUGUUGGAUUAAAAGUUAUUUUAGGCGCAGAAGUUUAAAAAUUUGGUCUGUUCGACCAUUAAAUUUUUACAUGAUCUGAGUUCAGACCGGUGUAAGCCAGGUCGGUUUCUAUCUUUAUAGAUUUUAUAGUAUUUUAGUACGAAAGGACCAAAUAUUUAAUAUAUUAAUAUUUAUAUUUUGAAUAUUAUUAAU